UACGUAGGCAGCAAGCGUUGUUCGGAAUUACUGGGCGUAAAGCGUGCGCAGGCGGCUUCUCAAGUCAGGGGUGAAAGCCCAGAGCUCAACUCUGGAAUUGCCUUUGAGACUGAGUGGCUUGAGUACGAGAGAGGUGAGUGGAAUUCCCAGUGUAGAGGUGAAAUGCGUAGAUAUGACUCGGAAGGCCAACGGCGAAGGCAGGUUACUGGUACGCAACUGACGCUGAGGCACGAAAGCGUGGGGAGCAAACAGG
rnacentral:rRNA from 1 species